UUAUUCUUCUACCUUACCCAAUACUUUUUUUCCCCUUACCAGCUUAUUUUACGGUCAGAGGUUAAACUGCUAACCCUUCACCUUCCAGGAAAGUUUUUUUUCCUCUCUCAUAAAAGGUUUUUCACAGUGUGCAGCAGUCGGAUUAGCUCUUCUCUUUGAGAACAAAAGCUCUGUCUUUGUCUUCGUUGUUUGGGCAUGGAGCCCCUACAUCAGAGGAAGCUGCUCCUACUCAACUUGCACAAUAAUGAUAUUGUGAGGCCCCACGAAAGCCUGGCCUCUCAGUGUCUAGACUCUCAUCCAACCAGCUAGCCAAAGAGAAAAUCCUGUCAAGCACUCAGCUGAAAAUUAACUAAGGUAUCCUGUUGAGAACCUGAUGAAGAUGUUAUUUGACCAUACGGUAAAACUUUCUAUUGUUGAACAUAAAGAUAAGAGAAAAACUUUUAGAACUCAAUGCUUUAACAAUCUUGGUCACCAAUUCGCACAUGGGUCAGUAAAUGUAUUUUACCAAUAUACAACCCCUUCCUCUAUACGUGCUCUUAAAAUAAUACACAGGCUUAUUUAUGACACUCUAAGCUCUUACAUUUAAAAAUCUGUGCAACUAAGAGAUACAUUCAAAAAAAUAUUAGAAAUUAUAUGUUAUUUGCAGUUUUUACAUUGAAGAUUUAUCAUUAGAAAUUCUGCUACUGCAUUUGUCACUGAAGUACCCAAUCGAAAUGCAGAAGUCAAAAUAAAACUGUCAUCUUUUCAUAUUCCUGAAUAAGCUUUAAAAUAUUAAGCGAGAGAAAUAGUAAACUAAAAAGUCAAUAAUUGAUUAAAGCUUAGAAAUGAAAACAAGAGUACAUAAACCAAACCAUUCUUAUAAAAACUGUUUGUAAAUUUUUUAACCUGUAAAAAGUUAAAUACAUUAGAUAAAUUUAAAUUUGGUCAUAUGAUAGCAAUAAAAGAUGAUUCUCUCAUGUGCAUUAAGUUAUGGGUGAGUUCAUAAAUAUUUACAAGAGGUUUUGGGGACUGUUGCAGUUUUUGAAAUAUCAUCUUAUAAUUUACAACAAUAGCAACAACUGUUAUUGAAAAUUAUUAAGUGAAAACUAUAUAUGAUUAUAACCACAUUUAAUAAGCUCAUAUUGAAAUCUAAAAAGGAAUGCACAAAAAUAGAUGUUCUGUGUUAUUGGUACGAAAAGAAUAAUCUUUUUCCUUCCUUCAAAAUUUACUGCAAUACAUUAGUAAUUUAAAAAAUAAACUUUACAGAAUAAUCGGAAUAGUUCAAAACCCUACAAAUGGAUAGCAAUUAAUGAAAGAUAAGGGUGUCACUACUGUAUAUAGGAUUCAGAAUUAAAGAAUAAAUCAUUUUUACAUACUCGAUACUAUAAUAUAAAUUGAUUCUCCAAAUUUUAGGAGAAACACAAAUGUACUUUCUUUUUUAACCUACAACAAACUUAACAAAAGAAAUACAUUUAUUCUUAAGGGGGAAAAAAAAUCAAUGCUGAACCAUAGCAGAUGCCUGGCAUGGAGGGGUAUUUUUCUACUCUUUUAAUAGACACAUGAAAAUCUAAGCCUGGCAAACACUUAAAUUGAAGACUCUGGAACACAGUGAAUAAGUGACAUCUGGCAGAAAAUGUUAAAUAUUUCAUUCCUACUUCUGCAGAAAAGAAAAGGACUGAAAUUUAACAAAAUUUAAAAGAACAUUUCAUAUAACACUGAUAUGCAAUUAUAAAAAAUAGAUUUGGUUAAAUCUAUAUGAUAUAUGAAUAACACGAAAGUUAACAGAAUGGUAUAAAAACCAAUACUGAAUAGGUCCAUCAUGCCUACCAUUAAGUAUUUUUUAUAUCAAUGAAUUAUGUAAUCUGUAAAAUGAUUAUAGAACCAAGUACAUCCACCCAAAUAUUGGAGGCAGAAUGGCUUUAUUCUACUGUAUGUUCUACAAAACACCUCUGCUUCAAGUAGUUUUAUUUCCUCAGAAUGCUACUCAGCUUCACAGAAAGGGUAUAAAAUAUCUUGGCUUUUGGCAAUUAAACUAAAUAAAAUUUAAAAGUCCAAGACCUGAGAGUAUUCACUGUUAAAUUACUUUGAAGCUACUUCUCUUGGGUUCUCUGGCAGUUUCCUUUGUUAGAAGAAGUGAUCUAAAUUUUGCUUAACAGUUUAUGUUCACUUUAAUGUGAACUAUGAAACAUUCCAUUUACAAAGCAUUCUUAGACUUUCGUGAAUUUUAAAGGGUAUUAUUCGAAAACACAGGCUGGGGCCAUCUUUUCUCCUCCCGUGGAGCCGCCGCCAUGAAGGUCGAGCUGUGCGGUUUCAGUGGGUACAAGAUUCCUGGACACGGAGGUGCUACGCCAGGACCGAAGGAAAGGUUUUCCAGUUUCUUAAUGCAAAAUGCAAGUCAGCCUUCCUUUCCAAGAGGAAUCCUCAGCAGAUAAACCGGACUGUCUUCUAUGGAAGGAAGCAUAAAAUGAGACAGUCGGAAGAAGUUCAAAAGAAAAGAACCCGCGGAGCAGUCAAAUUCCAGAGGGUCAUUACUGGUGCAUCUCUUGCUAAUAUCAUGGCCAAAAGAAAUCAGAAACCUGAAGUUAGUAAGGCACAAGAAGAACAAGCUAUCAGGGCUUCUAAGGAAGCAAAAAAGGAUAAGCAGGUAUCUAAAAAGACUGCAAUGGCUGCUGCUAAGGCACUUCCAAAGACAGCAGCUAAGCAAAUGAUUGUGAAGCCUGUGCAAGUUUCGGCUCCCGAGUUGGUGGAAAACGCUAAGCUGGCAGAUUAGAUUUUUAAAUAAAGAUCGGACUAUUUUAAAAAGAAGAAGAAAAAAGUAUAGAUUGGAAUACUGCCAAACAACUCACUCUUUUGAUUUCAAGCUCAAUUUUAAGCUGCAGAUUAAAACUUUUGUUGAAUUUGAAUAGCAAACAUUUUGAGUCAGCGAGAACAUAAGAUCUACUCAUUUAGAGAUUUAAUAUUCAAUGAUUUGCCCAAACUAUCUAUCUAUCUAUCUAUCUAUCUAUCUAUCUAUCUAUCUGAGACAGGAUCUUGCUUUCUUGCACAGGCUGGAGUACAGAGGCAAAACCAUAGCUUACGGCAGCCUCAGUUGAGGCUGCCUCAGCCUCCCAAAUAGCUAAGACCGCAGGUAUAUGCCACCACACCCAGCUAAUUAAAAUAACAAUAAUAAUUUGUACAGACAGGGUCUCACUAUAUUGUCCAGACUGGUCUUGAACUCCUGGCCUGAAGCACUCUUCACACCUUGGCAUCACAAAGCACUAGGAUUAAUUAUGAGCCACCGUGUCCAGCUUCUUAUAUUUUAAAUUAAAAUGAUAAAUUCUAUGUAUAUCACAAAAAUCAUCCCUGAGAUAAUCUGUGAUAAAUUUGUUACUGUAACCUUUCUUUACAAAUGCCUAUACUCUAUUCCUGUUCUACUGGAAAGGCUAUUCAUUAGCUCCAAGGCUCUACUGAUCUUCCUUGCCUUUCAGUUAGGACUGCUAUCCAUAUUUCUG